CCAAUAGCGUAUAUUAAAGUUGUUGCAGUUAAAAAGCUCGUAGUUGAAUUUCGGGAUUCAUCCGUUGGUCGGGCUUCACGGUCCGUACUGGUGUGAUGGGUUCCUACCUUCUGAAUAACCGGCAUGCCAUUAAUUUGGUGCGCCGGGGAAGCAGAACUAUUACCUUGAAAAAAUUAGAGUGCUUAAAGCAGGCAAGUGCCUGAAUAGGUUAGCAUGGAAUAAUAAAAUAGGACGGCAUGGUUCUAUUUUGUUGGUUUCUAGGAUCACCGUAAUGAUUAAUAGGGAUAGUUGGGGGCAGUAGUAUUCAAUUGUCAGAGGUGAAAUUCUUGGAUUUAUUGAAGACUAACUUCUGCGAAAGCAUUUGCCAAGGAUGUUUUCAUUAAUCAAGAACGAAAGUUAGGGGAUCGAAGACGAUCAGAUACCGUCGUAGUCUUAACCAUAAACUAUGCCGACUAGGGAUCGGACGAUGUUAAUUUUUUAAUGACUCGUUCGGCGCCUUACG
rnacentral:rRNA from 1 species